CUGUUCCUCUGCUCCACCCGUCCACUGCUCUACAGUGCUGUGUUUGAUGACCUCUCCCUGAGCAGAAACCAGUAUCUGAAAAAAUAAACUUUUUCCCUUUUUGUAUA